ACUACGGGUGGCUGCAGUGGGGAAUAUUGCACAAUGGGGGAAACCCUGAUGCAGCGACGCCGCGUGAGUGAAGAAGUAUCUCGGUACGUAAAGCUCUAUCAGCAGGGAAGAAAAUGACGGUACCUGACUCAGAAGCCCCGGCUAACUACGUGCCAGCAGCCGCGGUAAUACGGAGGGGGCAAGCGUUAUCCGGAUUUACUGGGGUGAAAGGGAGCGUAGACGGCAGCACAAGUCUGGAGUGAAAUCCCUGGGAUUAACCCCGGAACUGCUGUGGAAACUGGGCGGCUGGAGUGGAGGAGGGGUAAGCGGAAUUCCUGGUGUAGCGGUGAAAUGCGUAGAUAUUAGGAGGAACACCGGUGGCGAAGGCGGCUUACUGGACUGUAACUGACGUUGAGGCUCGAAAGCGUGGGGAGCAAACAGGAUUAGAUACCCGGGUAGUC
rnacentral:rRNA from 1 species